UGCCAGCAGCCGCGGUAAGACGUAGGAGACGAGCGUUAUCCGGAUUUACUGGGCGUAAAGCGCGUGCAGGCGGCUCGUUAAGUUGGAUGUGAAAGCCCCUGGCUAAACUAGGGGAGGUCGUUCAAGACUGGCGGGCUAGAGUGCAGCAGAGGAGAGUGGAAUUCCGAGUGUAGCGGUAAAAUGCACAGAUAUUCGGAAGAACACCAGAGGCGAAGGCGGCUCUCUGGGCUGCAACUGACGCUCAGACGCGAAAGCUAGGGGAGCGAACGGGAUUAGAUA
rnacentral:rRNA from 1 species